AAUGAACGUUGGCGGCGUGUAUUAGGCAUGCAAGUCGAGCGAGAACCGUAGCAAUACGGGGAAAGCGGCAAACGGGGUAGGAAUACGUCGGUACGUACCCCCAGGUCUGGGAUAGCCACGGGAAACUGUGGGUAAUACCAGAUAAACUCUGCCUCUGUGAUGGAGGUCGAGCAAAGGUGUGAUUCCGUCUGGGGAGCGGCUGACGCAGUAUUAGCUAGUUGGUAGGGUAAUGGCCUACCAAGGCGAAGAUGCUUAGGGGGUGUGAGAGCAUGGCCCCCACCACUGGCACUGAGACACUGGCCAGACACUUACGGGUGGCUGCAGUCGAGAAUCUUCGGCAAUGGGCGCAAGCCUGACCGAGCGACGCCGCGUGCGGGAUGAAGGCCCUUGGGUUGUAAACCGCUGUCAGGGGGGAUGAAGUGCAUAGGGGUACUCCCUUAUGUUUGACAGAGCCCCAGAGGAAGCACGGGCUAAGUUCGUGCCAGCCGCCGCCGUAAGAC
rnacentral:rRNA from 1 species